rnacentral:ncRNA from 2 species
AACGCGGAUGGGGCUAAACCGGUUGCGUGUGAUACCCGGCAGGGGUUGCGUUUCCGGGGUUGUGGGACCGUUCGUCCAGGGUCUGCCGGCUCUGGCGCGUGAGGUGCGGGCGUAUAGGUGAACAGGUUUGAAUGCCUGACCGUAGAGGGUGCGAGUCCCGUAACCGUAAUGCGUUCCGCCGCGUGGUGGUGUGUUCCCGAGUAGCACGGGGCCCGAGAAAUCCCGUGUGAAUCUGCCAGGACCACCUGGUAAGCCUGAAUACUCCCUGAUGACCGAUAGCGGACCAGUACCGUGAGGGAAAGG